AAGACCAGCCUGGAAGGAAGCUCGUGCUACUCUUCAAAAGCUUUUAUCAGGUACAUCUAACCUUACUUUGUUUCAUGUUUAAUUGUUCAAGGGCAUGUUUGAUUCACCUCUCGCUUUUUUGUUUUAAAAACUGUUUUUUUUUAAAAUGAUUCUACAACACUCAAUUAAUUUUUCAUCCAAAUUCUAUUAAGUUUUGAAAAUUGUUUCCAGAACAAGUGUUUUAAAAACUAAGAAAAACAGAAAUGAGAGAUAUUUUCUCAUUAUCUGGACAAACAAAUUUUAGAAAAUAGAAAACUAUUUUAGAAAACAGUAUACAAACAAGGCCUAUUUGUUCACUUUUUUACAUUGCACUGCUUAUGAGGGUGUACGUGCAUGUUAAAGUUUGUGUGAGCUGCAAUGGCUGGUUUUUAUGUCAGUUGGGUUGUUUUUCAAUGCAGCAACUGAGCCAACCUUGAGGGACAAUGCGGUUUUGAGGCAGAAAGCACUUGUGCCUAUGGUAUUCUACAUUGACAUUACUCGUUUAUUAUUUUAAAAUGUUUGUGUUGUGUUUGUCACUUCUCUAAUGAUUUUGGUGUUUGGAUUUUCAGAGUAGUGUGGAGUUGCUUCUCCCUGUUGCUGUUGGGGACUACACCGAUUUCUUUACGUCUCUGCAUCACACUAAAAACUGUGGGAUCAUAUUUCGUGGGCCGCAGACUCCUGUUCUAGAUAACUGGUGUGUUGAUUUAAAAGGCUUUACAAAUAAACUUGAGCAAUUUUUUCUGUAACUAAAAGGUUAAACUUGUAUUGCAGGUAUCGCCUGCCUGUUGCCUACCAUGGACGGGCAUCUUCUGUUGUUAUUUCCGGAACAGAUAUUGUCCGGCCAAGGUGAUUAGUUUUGAUGCUAACUGUAAACUUUUCUGGUUGAGUUUGUGCUUGCUUGCUUAAGCAGCUUUUGAAUCUUCUGUUUUUUUAUAAGUCUUAUGGUUAUGAACAUAUAAAGAUAUGUUGCAUCAAAGUUUGGCUGCUUAACAUAGGAUGCUUUGCAAAUUGUAAUGCAUGCCUAUGGCUCUAGCAUAUGGAGUGAACUGUGGAAGGGAUAUGGCUUCCAGUGUCAAUCUUCAUGUGUUGUAUAUUUCAUGAAAAUAGAAACAUUCUUAUCACAGCGCCAGGCUCUGGCUCCUUUUAUAGACAUUAUGCAUUUAAUUGCUCUGCAUUCUAUCUCACUAUGACAUGCCACUUUUUGUGCUUUCCAGAGGUCAAGCUCAUCCAGUUGGCAGCUCUACCCCCUACUUUGGCCCUUCAUUAAAGCUAGACUUUGAGUUGGAAAUGGUUAGCUUGUUGUUUAUGCAUAUCUUCUCUGGCCAUUUUACUCACUAAAAUGCAUAUGUAAGGUUUUAUUUAAAAAUAUAAAACUUGAGGUUAAACAUUGUUUCAUUUUCUUCUUUGUAUAUAGUUAUCAUGGUACUGCAUUAUUUUUCAUUUGUUUCAUUUUAGAUUAAAUUAUUAAAAUCAUAGUUUAUUUGCAGGCUACUAUUGUUGGACCUGGAAAUGAAUUGGGAAAACCUGUGGAUAUUAACAAUGCUAAAGAUCACAUCUUUGGACUUGUUCUGAUGAAUGACUGGAGUGGUAGUUUCCAAUUCAAUCUCUCUCUCUCUCUCUCUCUCUUGUUAUGUUAUGGUGCUCAACAAGUGAUGCUUUAUUUGAAUUGUAUUUGGCAGCUCGAGAUAUUCAGGCAUGGGAAUAUAUUCCUCUUGGUCCAUUUCUUGGCAAGAGUUUUGGUAAGAUGUUUCAAAUAAUUACUUAAUAUCUUUUAAGUCCUAUGGAAAAAAGCUGGGCAUUUGGACUUGUGCAGUAUAUCCAACGUGGAUGAUUGCAUGUACCAUUUGCUCUAGAUAUAAACUAUCACUUUACAGUUGUUAUUUACUUAUUUUAGAGUUAACCAUCCUUUAGGGUGCUAACUAAAAUUAUACAGGCACAACAAUAUCACCUUGGAUUGUGACCUUGGAAGCAUUAGAACCUUUUGCCAGUGAAGCCCCAAAACAGGUAACUGGUUUCUUUCUUUCAAGAUUGGCAUUGUAGGAACUUUAUAAUUUGGUUGUUCAUGUCUGCAGUUCAAAAUAACCAUGGCAUGUUAUUUAAUCUAUCCAUAAAAUGCAGGAUCCUUCUCCACUUCCAUACUUGACUGAGAAAGAACCCAAAAUCUAUGAUAUUUCCCUAGAGGUAUUUUAGAGCACCUUUAUAUGCAUGUACUUAGUAUUACUUCCUCUUGUAUCUCAGAUUAAUGGUAUUUCUUGAUGGUUCUUCUGUACUACUAUAUUUGAAGUAGGUAUUUAUUUUGGUCUUUAUGGUUAGAACUUUGGGAGAACCACACCACAAAAGCUAGCAAAAAAGCUAGCAGUUGUAGUUGGAGUGCCCAAAACCUUAUAAACCCCACACUAGAAUUCCAUACUUUAAGUGUGGGACUCAAGUCCUAUACCUUGCAAUUGGAUCCUAACAAAAUACAGUUUAAGUUUUUGGAUUGUUAUGUUAAUCAUAAAAUUGCUUUUUGCUGCAAGGCUCACAUAAAACCUGCUGGGCAUGAAGAUUCGGGUGUGGUGUCACGGACUAAUCUAAAGCACUUGUAAGGAAUUUCUCUUCAACUAAUAUUGAUAGCUCAGUUUAUUUAAUUAGUUCUCUCUCUCUCUCUCUCUCUCUCUCUCAGUUUAUUUAAUAUUAGCUUGGAAGGCAAUUGUGAUGGCAUUGUUUAUUUAAAAGAAGUGAAUGGCAUGGAAGUUGUUAGUAUUAUUUUGUGCCUAGUUUGACUUGUGCUUGGUUAUAUAUUCUCCCUGGUACACUGAACAAGUGGGAGCUCUCACAUCUUUCCAUUCUAUCUGAUAAUUGCUUGCCCUUGCCUAUGAGAAAAAGUUAUACUUUGAAACAGUUAUACAUAAUACAAAAAAUCCCACUUAUUCUACCUCUCUGUAGAUAUUGGACAUUGACCCAACAACUUGCUCACCAUACAAUCAACGGUUGCAACCUUAGGCCAGGCGAUCUCCUUGGAACUGGGACAGUUAGUGGUCCUGUAAGAUUCCAUAUUUUGCGCAGUCUAACUUUUUGAUUCCUGUUUGUUCGUUCUCUUUGAGGGAAUUCUCCCUUUUCAACUGAUCAACUAAUUUCAGUUAAAAUAUGUGCUUUUCACUGUAGGAGCCAGAGUCCCGUGCAUGCUUGCUAGAAUUAACAUGGAAUGGACAAAACACAGUGUCAGUGAAUGAGUUAAAUCGGAAAUUUCUUGAAGAUGGAGACGAAGUCAUCUUAACUGGAUAUUGCAAGGUAACAAUCAAUUAAGAUCUUCAAUGCCUCUUUUGCAAAAGUGUUGUAAUUUUUUCAACUUUUCAUGAGAAAUUUCUUAGUUGUAUCUAAUUUUUAACUGUUCAAAUUAAAUGAAUUUCAAACCUAGGACUAUGUUAGUUUUGUUAGUUGUUAAUAUUAGCUAGUGAGAAAGUCAGUGAGUUAGUUGUUGAUAUCUGUUAGCUUGGUUUUUAAGAAUGUUAUUUAGAAAUGAAGUUCUUGAACAGUUGUAUUUUUAUCAGUUUUAUAAUUGAAGAGUCUGUGGGUGAGUAUUGGAAAAUUGAUUUUGGUUAAGAUUGAGCUUGGAAUGAAAUGAUAUUCUUGGAAACUUUUAUAAAACUAUUACCUCUAAAUUAGACUGCUGAAAUUGUUUUCAAAUGAUGUGCUAUACUUGUUUUGUUUAUAGCUGAGGCAUGGUAGUCACUUUUUUUUCUUGAUCAUCACAUUGAAACUUUUAUAUUCAUGAAACAGUUCUUGAUCUUUCUUAUUUAUUAGUUGUAAAACUGGAAGUAUUAUGAUAAGAUCUAAAUGCCUUACUUUGCAGGGAAAUGGUUACUCUGUUGGGUUUGGUACUUGCUCAGGCAAGAUUGUACCCGCAGCUCCAUGAGGCUAGUAUCAUUCCAUAGUCUUUUCCAGUUGUGGUGGGAGGAGUUGUAUCAAGAGCCUGCUUGUUUAAUUUACUCGGCGCAUAAUAUGACUUUAAUAAAGCUGGUUUUUUAUGAGUAUUAUACUUUUUCUUUUUUUAUGCUGUAGUGUGGAUCCAACAUUGGAAUAAACCAAUACUUAUAAAAAAAAUAUUAUCAAAUUCUACAAAAUUAUCCUGCUGCACGUGGUAUAGUCGUAUAUACAAGGCGAUCUUCGUGCCAUAUCAGUUGUACGCUGUAGGAGUGACAAUGGACUAGUCAUCUGGAUUUGCUAUUUGCUAAUGUCCAAUCGAGACACAAGUUUACUGAAUAUACGCCGCGUGACAUGUUUACGGGAUUUGGGUGUUCUUUGAAUGGAAUUGAAGUCUACUUCAAUAACUCGAAUAAUAAAAAUUCACGUUAAAAGUUUCAGUUAACACAAAAAUGAGGUACAUUAUUUGUCCUAUUCAAAUCUUUUUUAACAGGAUAAUUACUAAAUAGAAAUAAAGUCCCGCUAAGUUAUCAGUAUCUCAAAAUCUCAUGUUGGUAUUCAUCGACGAAAAGUUAUCACAGGAUUUGAAUUUAAACCUGAAAGAAAGAGUAGUGGGAGCAAAGGAAGGUUGGAGAAAAGCAAGUGGGGUCCCGCGUCAACCAAAAAAGGUUACCUAUCAUCUAUCUCAUCUCCAACAUCACACAACUGUCACUGUGUCUGUGUGCAAUGUGUGACUAUCAAAACACCCUUUUCCCAUGAAACCCUCUUCCAAACAAGCCUUUUCAUCUUCCACCUACCACAAUGACCACACUCCACAACAACAACCAACCAAUUCCCCAUCCAGCGCCGCCGUUUUCAUCCAAUCCGCCUACCGCGCCCACCGCAUCCGCGCCCUCUACAGGAAAAUCGCCGCCGUCGACGCCGAAGCCGAUCGGCUGCAGCGCCUGAUCCAGCGGCAGGACACGGUGGACGCCGUGCGCGCCAACCACCUCGAGAAGCUGCGAAUGAACGAGGCGCUCAUGGCACUGCUGCUGAGGCUGGAUUCCGUGCCCGGAAUCGAUCCAACGCUCAGGGACGCCCGGAGGAAAGUCAGCCGUAGGAUCGUGGGCCUCCAGGAAAUACUGGACUCUAUUUCGGAAGCCCAAAUCGAUGAGUCCACUUGGUGGCCCAUGAAGAAUUGGGACGAAGUCUUGGCCGACAUGGAAGAAAGCAUUUGUCGGGAGAGCGGCGGCGAUGAAAUGGAACGGUUUUGCGCUCAGAAUCUCGGCUUUCGCUGCCUACAAAGGUUUCUUCGUGAACCCUGAUUCACCACUCCCCCUUUUAUGUAUGUAUGAUUCUACGUACACAUACACGCCUUUCUUAUGUGUUUUUCUAAUUGUACAAUAUAAUCUCUAUAGUUGCUUACCUUCAAAACUUUCUGCUUUAGCUAUUGACUAUAGUAAGUACAAGGCAGUGAAAUAAACAUGGUCUAAAGGAAUUAAGAUAAUGUCAAGAGACAAGAAAGUUGGUUCGUUUAUUUGAUAAGAAUCUCGUGGAUGGGUAUUUUGUAAGUAUUUAUGUAUGAGUGGUAAAGUUUAUUCCGAUCCUAAAGAAUUGGGACUUAAUUUACCUUAACUUAUUUUGAAGACAAAAGGAACAAAGAUAAUUAAAGCAGUUUAAUUUCAACUGAAUAGAAUGAACUGAUUUUACGAGUUCCGAUUCCACUAUCAUUUGAGAACUUCGUAGAUGGAUAAUAAUAAGUAAAUAUCAUGUAAGCUUUCUUUCAGCACUGAAGUCUCUCUUUGGUCUCAAUAGGCUCCCAUAAGGCAGAGACCCCAGACUCAAUUUUUCUAAAUUUAUUUUGAAUAAAAAAAGAAAAAAACUAAUAUAAUUAAAGUAGUUGAAUUUAAACUUACUAAAAUGAACUGAUGAUGGCAAAUUCAUAACAAGUGCAAUAUGCAUGGGUUAUUGGACUAGCUUAUAUAUAGUUACAACAUAGUGGUUGAGCCAAAACGAGUAAUUAAGAUAAUGAUGGAUAGUGUGAUAAUUUGGUGGGGGAGGUGGUAGUUGACGCAGCUGCACUUGCACUUGGACAUACACCAAUUUGGUGGACAGGCGUUUUUCAUUUGGUUUACAAUGCAGUCUUUGCAGCCCCUUCCAUCUGUGGGUGGACAACUCAUGAUAGGUGAAGCCACCAUCAUCAUUAUCAGCAACAGGGCCUGUGCUUGGAAUUGCAAUGAUACUACUAUGCGCUUCUUAGUCUCCAUGUGCAUCAGAAUGCUUUGCUUUUGCCUGCAAAGGUGCUGUGCUCUUCACAAGUUGUAGAAAAGAGUAGUGUAUGCUGACAGAUAUGUGGUAGCAACUAGCAAUGCAUGGCACUUCCACUAUAUAAAAUUUUGGCAAACAUUCGUGGGAAACCCAGAAUUCUAAGAUCCACAUAAGGACAUCGGUAGUGUGUAAGCAUUAAAUUUCUUGGCAGGCCUUGCAAUUAAACACAACGUACAUUUACUCUUGUAUGACUCUGGCAGCUCAUGGCUCUCUCGGUUUGCACAACCAUCUAUCCCAUCGCAAUUUUUUAAGCAAAUAAGGGUAAGGAAUGGAGAAUAAAUAUUUUUGUGUUGAUUUUUUUUUUGUUAUUUUAUUGUGAAAAAUAUUUUAUAAUUAUCUUUUUAUAAAUUGGUUACUUUAUUAAUAUUUGUGAAUAUUUAUAUGUCAUGUAAAAAUUUAAUAUAACAGGAUGCAAUAUUCCUGCUAGAUAGUAUUUUUCUUUUUUUUGGAUUUGGUACUCGUGUUGCUGAAAUGAUAAUGUCAUGAUAUGAGACAAUGACAUGAAAGUAAAAUUGAUCAAGCCUAUGCAAUAAUGAUGAGCCUUGUUUACGUAAUGCGAGCAAUUUUGACGUGAUUUGUAGUGGUUCGGUUAAACCCAUAAUUAAAUGGAUUGUAUUGUAUAAGUUUGUAUUUGUCUUUUCAUUAGUGAAAAAUGACGAAAGUUUAAGGUGUAAAACAUGGUUGGUAAUGGUGGCUUACGUAAUUAUGCGUGAAUCUAGCUAGGACCGCUGCCUGUGGUUUAGAGGGAUUUUUCUCAAUUUAUGCAGUGAAGGCUAUUUGGCAUGAAACAGGAGGAUCAAAAUAUCCCAAUCUUGAGAAUGAAAGAGAAUUUGGAAUUGAAAUAUAUGAGUCUUAGGUGUCAAUUACAAAUUUGAAACAAAUGAAAAAGAAAGGAAUGAAACCAAAGCAACAAUGUUCAUUUAUGUGAUCCUUGGAGUGAAUAAAGACCGUAAACAUCCAUGAGAAACUGGGUCAAAGCGGUCAACUCUCUGGUUGCCUUCUCAUAAACGCGACACCGCGCUAGCGCGGGCAGAAAGAAGGCCAUCGCUGUGUAGAGCACAAACAGCAACGUUAGCAUCCACGACAGCACCCUGGGCACCUGCCACUGUUUUUUCCCUCUGAGACUCUUCUUGAUUCCAACCUCCAUGGCCACACACACCCCGUGAAUGAGAAAGAAACACGUGGCGUCCCACGAGGGCUCCCAUACCUCCCACGUGCGCUUUUCCCGCUUGAUGUAGUAAAACACGAGCUCGUGCAUCAUCCCGGACACGGCAAAGGAAGCGAGAAUUGCAGGAAGUGGGGCCCACUUUCUCCCAAGGACUCGUGCAGAGAGAUUCUUCACGGGAUCGUACACGGUGGGGUGAAGAACACGGUUGACCAUGAUGUUCCACCUUCUCCCCCAGAAAUCUUGUAACGAAGUGCAUAGGUAUGGCUCCUUGAACUGUGGUUCCAGCUGAACCCCGAUGAGUUUUCUCGUUGCUGCGGAGACCGUGGCGAAAAUGAACUCUAACCCUAUGUACAUGUGGAGGCCGUACAAGAAAAAUACAAACUUUGGGUGAAAAUACUCUUUUUUCCCGUAGAGAGGAAUUAAAGCAGCCAAUAUAAUAACCAUUGAGGUUGAAGCAUAACUGAAGGGAGAUUUGUGUUUCUUUUGGGGGAUUUGGUGUUUUGGGUCAUGUUCGAAUUUGAUGGGGAGGCAUGCGAUGGGGACGAAGUGAGGCAAAGAGAGGGGAGGGUUGGAGGAUAAGGGACCCUUUCCAAAGGCAAAGAGGAUGAGUUUGAAGGUUGAAAGCCAACCAAGGAAGAAAGCAGAUGGGCCUCCGAGGUGAACGGAGAUGAGCCUUAGAGGGAGGAGAAGGAGGAUCCCUAUGGCUGGGAAUAGGGCUAUGAGUCUUGAUGUGCCUUCUGGGAUUAGCUUCCCAAUUCUGUGGCAGUAACACAUUGUUGCUGAAGCUAUGCUCCAUACCAUGAUGAAAUUCUUUAUCUCCCCCUCCAUCUCCAUUCUUCCUCCACCACAAUUUUUACCGUAUCAGUACUGUUAGUGUACCCUUGUGGGUUGGAAGUUGGAAUAAGAGUGCAAAUUCCAAUGCCAGUAUAUAGAUAUUUUAUUGGCAAACUCAAGGACAAAAGGCCCACCAUCUUUCUUAUUUAUUUUCCCAUAAGGUCAAGGAGGUGGUGCAUAUGCAAAAGUAAGUAAGCAUGUGUUUGCUUGUAAUUUGUAAAUCUGGCAGUAGGUUGGCUCAGUUGGGUUAGCUCCAACAAAAUAAAAUAAUUAAAAUGAAAUGUUAAAUACGAGGGAAAAUUUGAUCUCGUGCAUCACGUGGAAGACGAAUAUUCUUGUAAGAUUUUCUUCAACAUCUCUCCGUCUUUUUAACUCUAUGGAAAAGUUACACCUUCAUUUUGUUGCACUAGAAGAAGGUUUUGGUCCAGACAGUUUCGAAAGUGCCGAAUGAAAGUCCAUUUUCACUGAAUACACCCCUUUUUCUAUGUGUUGCCCUAAGAAUUUGGUCCUAGUCAGGGAAAGAUCGAAGUGGAAUGGCAAGAAUUUUUUCGACUUGCUGAUUUGGAAACAUAGUUCUAAUCAUCUCUUCCUUCCAAGAUAUGGUUUGUGGAUCUAUCAACUCAAACACCAUCAAGUUUCCAUCAUCACUUAUUUUGAUUUUAGAACUCUAGCCAUAAGAGUUGUGUGUUAACACUUAACAACCUCCAUCAUUACUUUGCUAACAGAGCCUUGAUGAAAGCAAUCACCAUUCUAAACCCAAUGCCUCCUUUUCGUUUUUUUUACUUUAGCCAAUUUUUUCCCAACUGAACCAAUGGAUCUUUCUUUCCUCCACAUUCCCACUACAAAAGAAUUUUGCUGUAAGGGACUCAAUUUGGUUGUAGAGGAUUUUGAUCCCCUCAUCACCUGUUUGAAGAAUCCAAUCAAUAAUUUCUUUCCCAAACAAAGCAAAAAAAUAUCUUUUAAUGAGAAAUGUUUAAAAAAUUAAGUUAAUUUGAAAAGGGUGCAACUAUUUCCUCAUAUAAGAUCAUAAAAUUAUAUUUUUUUAAAAAUUGUUCAUGUGUGUGGCUGUGCUCAGCCAAAGUUAACAAUUCCCACCAAAUUUUUGAAACACCAUAUUUAUUACUUACAUUCCCCUGAGAAGAAACAAGGAGCAUAGUUGUGCACCAACAGGCAAAACUCAAUUUUAUUGAUAAAACUAUCUAUCAACUGAAUACCAAUUUCAUCUCCCAAAUCCUCUCAUUGUUCAAAUUACCGGCUUCAGACAGGAUUAGAAAUAAUUAAAUAAUGAAAAAGAAGCAGGUAAACACUGAAGGAGAUUUCAGCACAAAAUAACAAUGAUUUAAGAUUGAACAUGUCACUUAAGGACAAGUCCGUUGACUCCUACUGCCAUUCCUUUCGGAUAUCAAAAGUGUAGUUAAUCUCUAAGUAGCACUUGUUGUCAUCAUCAACAAACUGAAAAAAGAGAAAUAAAAUCAGAAGUCAAUUAGGUUACAUUAAUCCAUAUGCAAAGACUUUCAUUACAACAGAAGUUUCUACAAGAAUUAAAUGAGUGUCUCAUAAAUUUAAACUUUAAAUGAGUGGUUGAAGGUAUGCACAUGAAGUCUGGCAUCAAAUUUAUUAGAACAUUUAUUGGUGGGCUGAUAGAUCCAAACUAAGCAUCAAUUCAGCUUCACUAGGUGUCCAAAAUAGUGUGAUAAUAGUAUCAAUAAGGAAGCAGUAAGGUCUAGUUUAUAAUUAACUCAUUUUUUUAACCAUAUACAGUAACGCAGUAACUCUCUAGUGAAAGAAAGUAGUUGAUUCAUUGAUAAAGUUGCUUGAAAAAUGCAAUGGGAUAGUAAAUGCACAGAAGUUACCAGUUUCUUUUUUCUUUUUUUUACCUUUGUCUUAGGUCAGUGUGAAACAGUAUGCAGUGAGAAAUAAUCUCUUCAUGAUAUUAACAUUACCUUACUUCUUGCUGAAUAUUGUCCUCUAGCAAACAUCCCAGAUGGUGUGGUCUCUUCAGGCAUCUCAUGUGUGUAAGGCUCUGCUUGGGGGCUGAAGGUUCCGAUCAUUUCUUUACUGCUGUCAACUGUAAUGUAACAAACAAAGCUUAAUAAUGUGAUAAACUCAUGGACAAAAUAUCUGUUUCACAAAAUUUGACCGAGUCAUAUAUAUUAUAUAGCACUUACCUUUGACACCAGUUUUCCACACAGUGUUGGUGUAUUUGAGACCUGAAACUAUGUUAUUCUCAACCUGGAAAGUGAACAUUAGCCUAUAACGACUACCCUCUUUCAAAGUAAACCAUAAGCCCUUGGGAUUUCCUCCCUCUGGUAUUGCAAGAACAAUGUCAGGUCUAUCAGCAGACUUAAUUGCAAGGCUAAGGAUCUUCACAUUUGGCUCCAGAGUUUCUGAAUUAUUCACAAUAUACAUAAUAAAUUAGGUGAUGAAAAGUUACAUAGGGAAAGAAUUUCAUGAGAGCAAGUUACAAGACGGAACAAUGGAAAAAUGUAAUGAUUUGAAUAUUCUCAGUUCAAAUUUUACCACUUACAUGUAUAAACCAUUAAAAGAACCUAACAGUAGUAGGAUUUUAACAAAUUUACAAUUACCAAAUAAUGAUAAAGUGUUAAAAUGGUAACAGUAUCAAUGUUAAACAACUGAAGAAGAAAUGAGAUGUUCAAGUUUCCAAAAGACGGUACAGAUUUGUUUUUGUAUUUCUUUUCUCAAAUCGAUGACCAAUAUAGUUAAUUCAAGUUUGGCAGAAUGAUAUUUCUUCUUUCUUACGACUAUGAUUCAAAAGGUUCGAAUAAUUUCAUUAUAUAAUAAGAUAACAUGAACAGACAGAAAUUGAAUAAAUGGAAGCCAAUUCUACACGCAAUUACCUCCAACAGAAUUUAUGUCAACACUUCCAAGAAGCUGCUCCUUCCACCUCCUCAAGCUCUCAUCAUCCUAAACACACACACACACUAAUGAGAGAGUGGUUGAAAAAUUCAUAUAUGUUUCCGAAGAGAAAACAAAGAAAAGAACCUUAUCCUUCUCGAGUUGUUCCUUUAAAGUGCACUGAGGACCUAAUUCAAUCUUCCUCUCCUCCUCAUCAUCUUCAUCCUCGGUAGCAGCAAUGGAACUCUCACUCCUGUAUCUGCUGAAGGUCCCUCCUCCUUCAUGUCCACUUUCAUGAUCCGUACCAGCUUUUGCCGCGUGCACCCGAUGAGAGGCAUCAUCAUCCCCUGCACCAUCAUUGUCUUUCACUUUCUCAUCAAAACCCAUGUCUUUCGCAAUGCCCAGAGACAUCAACAACCCAUCAACGCAGAGAAAAAGACAAACACACACACCCACUUGGUAGAAUCUUCCACACAACGAGAAUGGCAAAAGAAAAAGGCUAACUUGGGCUCGGAAAACAAAAAAGAGAGUCUAGGAGGAAAGAAAGAAGUCGGUCAAAGAAUCCCACAAAGGCAAAAACUACAUGGAAUAGAAAAAUGAGAGGUAACUCUCGCAGCAAGAAAAGACGCCAAGAACGCAAAGAAGAGAGAGGGGGGGUGUUUGUUUUUUUUUUUUAUUUGGGAAAAUAACAGAGAAGGAAACGGUCAUGUGGUGAUCCGAAAGAGAGGAACUUUCAACGAGAAAAUAUGAUAUGAGAGAGUGAGAGGGGUGGGAAGAUCGUAAAUGUCACUCUCUUAUAGCACUUGCCUCCACGAAGUCCAUGAUUCGAGGAAACCUUCUCUUCAUCUUUAACGUGUACAAAAAUAUACUAUUGGAUAAUAAUAAUCUAGAGACUACAAUUUGCAGGGCCAAGGGAAUAAAAAAUAGAAUUGAAUAAAAAUUACGAUGCACAAAACUUGUUUACAUACAAUAACAGGUGGUACUAAAUUUGUUUAUCUUAAACAAGAUCUCAGUUUCCAUUUUUGUAAAUAAAAAAAAAUUAAAUUAAAAUGAGAGACUCUAUAAUAAAUGACUAACUAAAUUUCUGAUAAAAAAAAUAAUUAUCAACAAAACUAAUAAUUAUAACAUAAUAAUAAAAAAAUUACAUGAAAAAUGUCAAAAUAGUGAAGAAUUUAGAAUUGUCAAAAUGGGUUAGUCAAUGAAGUUGAGCUAAACUUGUUAUACAUGGUAAGGGUAAGGCUAAACUAGUUUGAUAAAUUAUAAGGUUUGGAAAUUUUAACCCCAUGUUAGACUUGGACCAUUGUAGUUUGACUCCAUGAAGACUCUGUGUAGACUUAUCCUAAGAAAAUUAGAAGAAAAAAACCCCAAAAUUUUGUUUUUAUUAUGCUUGAUUUCUCAUUUUAGAAACAUAAAUUAAAAUUAUACUUUUUUUAUUGACCAUUAUAAUUGACAUUUGCUUCAUCUUUUCUACUUGGUAAUUGCAUUUUCCAUUUUAAUUGUGUGGACAAAAUUAUCUUUAAUGAUUGAGUCUCAAAACUUCCUUACCCCAAAUAUCUCAACCUAUAAUCCCUAACACCUCCCUUCAACCUUCAAAAGCCCUUGCACCCCCACGCGAUUGUGAGUGACCCCCUUCUCUUAGUCGAAAAAUCCUACACGAUAGUUGCUUCAACGUUGUCACCCACCCUCAGUCACACGAUAUCGGGAAAGGUAAGUGAUGAUCAUUUUUUGGUUAAAAAUGCUCUAGCCUGCUUUUGUGUUGGGUUCUGGUGUGAGUGUUUGACUUUUGCGGAAUGAAUGUUCUGAAAUUGUGUUGGAUUUUUGUCUCGUCAAAAAUAUGUUUUGAAACACCUAUUUUGAAAUACAUGUUCUUGAGGGUUAUCCUAGUCUGAAAUAGGUGUUUUGGAACAAAUUUUAAAAUCUAUUAUGUAAUUCUCAUUUCGUAACACACUUGUAAAUUUGUUUUAGAACACUUUUGAUUUUUUUGCUUUUGGAAUAUGGCGUCGACUAAGUCAACAAUUGAAGGCAUUUAUUGUAGUCCGAUGGUUUGACCAGUUUUAACAAGCAACAACUUAAAUGGAAAAAUUUAUCAACAGCGUCAGCUAAAACUGACACUAAUUCAAACAUUUUCUGAAAUUAAUGUGAGUGCGUUGCUCUAGCUGACGCUAAAGAGUCUAUAGCAGUGGUCAAACUACUGUUUCUAACUAGCAACAAAAUAGCGUCCAUAUGCUUAAAAUUUAUAUGCCAAAUACACUGGGAAUGCAUGUUUCUGUUUUACUAACAAAUAUGUUACUAAAUGCUAUUUAAUUAUCCAUAGUUGCAUCAACGUCAAGAAGUACAUUAACAUAUUGUUCAAUCUUGUUUGUCCUUGAUGGAUCAAAAGUAUAAAAGGAUUUAAAUCCUUUCAUAUUUUUCUCUUAUGUUACCAGAAAAAAGACACUAGUUUAAUGGAUUUUAUACAUAUAUUAGUUAAUUGUUAGUGUCGUUCUAUUCCUGUAACAUCAAAGAAGGAAUAUAAGAGAUCCAAAUCUUGUCUAGAAGGCUACCUUGUUAAAACCAAACUGUUACUUUUUGCCACUAAAAUUAAUAAAUUGACCAUGGCAUGAUCCAAAAGACAGGUUUCUAUAAAGCUAGUUUCAUGAAGAAUAAGAAAGCAGUUAGGGAAGACACAGCCAGCACAAGGUAUAAAAUUCUUUUAGCCUUAUUCCCGAAUUCUGACACCAUAAAUGAGGCUAUCUUCUCCACGAAUUCUCUAAGGCCUAUUUUCAUUUUCUGCAUAAGAUACACGAAAAGGGUAAGGCGAUUUACACCAAUAUUCUAGUUUAAAAACUUGAUGUUGCUUACCAGUCCGAAGGGUCUCAAGUGGAGCAGUGGUUCCAUAAACGUCUCAAUAUUCCUGAAUUAGACAUAAAUAUGACACUAUAUAUGAACUAUGAGAAAUAUUUAUUAGUAAAUUCAGUAUUGACAACUUUUCUCAAUCUUUCUGAGUUUACGAUCCAAGAUUAAACAAACCUUAUUACUGCCCUUCCGUGGUAAGUGUGGCUUAUGUGUAAGCUGAAACCCUUCCAAAGGGGAAGGUGUAUCUUGUCCCAUUCUGCAAUGUACAAAUUGUAAGGACAGCUUCUUAUUACACAAGUAGUUCAUAGAAGCUAAGCAUAACUAAUUUCCUUGUUAUGAUCAUGGCAUGGAGGCUGCUUACCGAAUUUCCACUGAAGACCAGCAUUUACGCCUUCAUGGGGAGUCGGUUUAAAUAUAAUUUGAAUGUUGUUUCCCAGUAUACUUGUCAGAUAAGAAAAGAAUUCCAACACUUGCUGCAAUGCAAGACAAUAUGAAUUAGAUAUUUCAUAUUUCACAUCUACAUUUAAGGUCUUCUCUCCCUUGACUUUGGCCUUGUUUUGAUGGCAAACUAUAAUAGUGGUUUUGGAUAAGCAUUUAUAGAUAUUUAAAAUGGUUUUAAGCAUUAUUUUAGUGUGUGUUUUAUUCAUGAAUAAAUAAUGUACGCAUUCAUAUUCAUAAUAUAAAAAUUUAACAAUAAUUUAUUUAAUUAUAAAUUAAAUUUAUAUAUGAUAAAUUUAUUAAUUUUUAUAACAACUAAUUUAAAAUACAUUUUGAUUUAUUAAAAUUGAUUAAGAAAUAUAAAAUAAAGAAAGAAAAACAUUAUUUAUAAUGUGAAUAAAUUUUAAUCAAUAAGAUGACAUGUAUUUAAAAGAGUGUGUUUUUAACAUAUAUCAUGACUUCAUGAGUAGAAAAUAUCUUAAACAAUUACUUAAAUUGCUUGAAUAUUCUUAUCCAAACAAUGAACUUAAUCCUAAGAAACGGAAAAUUAAGCCUACCUAAACAGGGAGGAAAAGAUACCGUUCUUCCUUGGAAGGUUUCGAAGAAUGAGAGGAAAUUGCUCACACGUCGGCGUUCAUCUGCAGAUAAUUCGUGUAUUUUUUUGUUCUUGAAGGCAGAGUACAGUUUCAUUACUGAGUCAAGGCCAUGAUGACCAUCUUCUCCUUCUGAUUCUGAGUUAUUACCAUCAAAGGCAAUCAGGGAUAGGCCUCUCUGCUUCUCAUAAUACAAGCUCCUAUGCAUCGAGGAUUGGUAUGAAAAUAAAGAUAGGGUAUUGCUACGUGCACGAACUUUUCUUGUUAUGUUUCUAGGAAUGGAAAUAUUACAAGAAUUAUAGGUAGUAGAAAAGGACAGUGGAAAAAAUGAGGUAAUUCUUUUGCAUUUUAUGGGACCAGUGAUAGAAAAGGAUGCCAUAGAAGAUGGAACAAUCUCAAGUUUUCAACAUGAGGGGAAAAAAAAAGCAGUUCAAUUCCGCAUCUUCUGAUGAAAAGAGAUAGAAAACUAUAUUGUUUAUAGAAGAUGGAAAAACAUGCUUAAAACCAAAGGCAAGGUUUAACAUUUGAUGAUAUGAAAUGGGGUAAAGUAAUUGAUCCAUGCUUCAACCGCAAAGCUAGGUAUCACGAAGUCUUGUGCUAUUAUCCACGAUUUCAAUCGUGUAUUAAGAGGUGAUAGGAAUAAAUAUUAGCUAUACAGGAUUAAACUCGUUUUAGUUUUAUAUUAAUUUAUAAUUAUAUAAUAUCUCAUUCAUAUUUCAAAAUAAAUAUAAUAUAUUUUUUAAAUAUACUAAAAUAUAAAUUAUUUAAAUUUUUUUAUUGUUAAAUUUUGAUAAAAUUUGACAAAAUAAUUAAAUUAUAAAUUCAUGUUUUACUUUAAGUUAUAUCCAUUAGAUUAUCAAAUAACUUGGUUAGAAAAAAAUGUGAUCUUACUCUUUUUCAAUUAAAUUGUUGUAUUUGUUCCAUAAUUCUCUCAAAUAAAAUUAUCCACACACAUAAACGAUCAUAAAGAAUAGUAAUAAACAUAAGAAUUUAGUGUAAUUUGAUACCUCUUGUCUGCCUAUAUCCAUGUAACCCUCUCAACCCUAUUUUAUUAUCACAAAAAUAAUUAUAAAAUUAUAACUCACUCUAAAUUAUGUAUUACUCUACAAAGUCGACUAUCCCACUUAAUAUUUAUAAGAAAUGAUAACACUCUUCUGACACAUCCUCUUUUUAAUAUGUGUCUUAUACAUUAAUUCUCUUCUAUAUUUAUAGUAAAUUGUCACUAAUUAUAAUAAAUCAAUUUUUUUGAAAGUUUAAACAAAAAUAACUUUCAAUGCAUUUAUUCAAAUAAUCUUCAUCUAGUAAAAUGUAAUUUUUUACUUUGUAUUUAAACCACUAAAUUUUAAUGGUAAAAAUUUAAUUCUCAUUAUUAUACAUGUAUCUUAUCUUUUUACUUUGGAAUUUUACAGUAUUAUACCUAUAUAGAACCUUGAAUGUUUAUGCUAACAUUACAGGCGUAAGGAUAAUUGCAAGACGUUCUGUGCUUUCUUAUUUAGUUGAAGUACGUGGCUUGAGGAGUUUGUGCCAAGUAGCUCUCCAAAAGAAAAGUUUAGGUAUCUUCAUUUUCGAAAUAACCUUUUCCUUGGCAAAAUUGGAUUGUCUGAUCCAUGUCUAAUAGUUUACAGUCAGCCUAAUUUUUAACGAGAAUACUAUAGGUAUAGCAAGAACCAUCCCAAAGCGAAACACCCUCCGUGUUUUGAGGUGACAAAAUAUGUGGAUAUUUGAACACUAAUGCUAUGUUUGAUACAGAAGAGAAAAAUAUUUGAAAUAAACUCUUUCUGAACACAUUUAAAGAUAUGUGAAAAUAUUUGAAAAAUAAAAUGGAAAGUAAAGAUAUUUUGUUGAAGAAAAUUAAAUAUAAAGAAAUGAAAAAGAAAACAGAAGAUGGCUAUAAAUAAGUCAGUGAGUCCCACUAAUUUUAAAAGUUAUUUCCCUUCUCAAUCACUUGCACUAAAUACCAACCCAACACUAAUACCUGUCUGUUGUAAAUUGUUUGUCUCCGUAAAAAUAAACACAGCAUAAAUAUAUAUUUACAUAAUACUUAUUUUUACCUACUUAUUUCUUUUCUAAUUAUUUGUCUUCUAUUUCUAUCGAUUUUUUUUUCUUCUCACAAUGAUACAGAGUAUAGAUUGUAGAUCCAAAUCAUGUUAAGGCCUUUUUAACCCAACUCGCGUAGGUUUAUCUUUGGUGAAGUUCAAACCAAUUCAGUUAUGUCAACUGAAAAAUAAAAAUUCUAGCCGAACUUCAUCAAUUAUUUCUGAGUUGAAUAAAAGUAUUACUUUUGGGCCAGGCCUAAUAGAGAUCGAAGCUCAAGGGAGUUACUUGGUUCCAUUUCAAUUGUUUUGGGCCCCUAACAAGUGGUUGGUCUUUUUUUUUUAUUCCAAAAUUAUACUUCUUAUGAAAUUAUGAUUUCGUUAUUCAACUAUUUUCACACUCCCUUCAACAUAACAGAACCUUGAUGUUGUUGUAUAAUAUACAAUGAAAAAUGAAAAAUUGAUUUUAUUGUAUUUUUUUUUUGUCACCACAGACAUAACAAUAUAAUCAGGAUUUCAAUGUUUUCUUUUGCACCCCUUUAAUACAACGAGAUCACAAUUUUAUUAUGUUAUUUUUCUAGAACCACAACAAAAUCAUAAUUUUGUUGUUUUUUUCUUAACCCAAAAAAUAGGUAACAUAAUCACAAUUCUGUUGUAUUAGAAUACACAAUGGAAUCGAGAUUUCGUUGUAGAUACAUUUAUAACAAAAUCAUGAUUUUGUUAAGCAUGAAUUUGCAACAACAAAAAAUAUCUUAGAGGAGUUGGGAAGAGAGGGAGAAGGGUUGAGUGUGGUUGGGAAAUAAAGGAGGAGGGUUGGGAAGAAGAGGCAGAGAGAAGAGGUUGGAGAGUAGAGGGGGUGGGGGAGACGGAAGAGCAAGAGGUGGGAAAAUUCAAAUCGGGGGCAUACUAGAUUUUUUCCCUCUAAGUAAGGUCCAAGAAUGAUUAGAAUAGGGACCAAUACAAACACCCGAAGCUCAAACUAGGUUGGCCCAAAUCCAGGAGGAUAGCGUGUUUUAUCUUUGUUGAAGGUUUAAACUAGGGAAGCUCCAUGCGUUUUGGUGAAUCAUAUUUUCGGCCAAAAGUUCCUAUAAUAGGUGAUUAAAGGUUCAAAGUUUUAUUUUGUGGAAAAGUACCGUCUUCAUUUCAAUAAGAGAAAUAUUUGGGUGUGUGUGACAUGGUUUAGCUACCUACUUUAUUUCUAACCUUUUACAAUCAAUAUUUGAAAACACACAAAAAAAAAUCAAAUUUAUCUUUUAACAAAGUUAAUAUCAAAACUAGAUUCGAGAUAUUUAAAAUUUAUAAAUCUACUUUCAAAAUGUAUCAAUAAUUACAAAUAGGAUAAAAUAUGUUUUCAUCCAUAAACUUUUUUAAAUUUUUUAUUUUCGUUUCUAAACUUUUCGGCGAUUGGUCAUAGUCCUUAAAUUUUUCUUUUGCUCAUUAUUUUAGCAUUUGGCCCGGUCAAGUCGACCCAUUGACCCAAGAACUAGGUCCUCAAUUGAUCCAAGUCACUUAUUGGACCGAUUCUACAUAUGAUCUGAUGCGACUCAAUCUAACUUGACGUGACCCAAUCUCUAAUCGGCCACUUGAUGACCCAGUUGACUCAAUGAGUCAUAUUUUUUUUCUUACCGUUGAACAACGUCACUCAUAUUAGAAAAAUAAAAUUAUAUCUUACACUUGUACUUUUUAUAGAUUUGCUUAUAUUUUUUACCAAUCAUAAUCACAUCUUGAAAUUUGAGAUGAUAAAGGUGUUAUCAUUUUCAAUUUUCUUUUGACUAAUUUGUGUAUUAGAUUAUGUUUGUCAUUGUACAACAAUUAUAUAUAUUUUAAAUUCUAACUUAAGUUUGUUUAUAUAUACCGAAUUCUAAAAAAAUAUGUUGCAUGCUCAAAAUUUUAAUCAAGUUUAUAACUUUGCUUCUAAAUAUGUUAAAUUUUAUUAAAUUUUAAAUCUUAAAUAUACAAAUUGACAUGUAAUUAAACCUAUUUUUUUUAAUAUAGAUCGGAUCAUACUAAUCAACUGAUGUUAAAUUUUAUGUUCUUCAACCGAGUCGAUAACCGGUCUAAGUCUAAUAACACUAGUUUAAAUGAUUAUUAAUUGGAGCAUUAUAAUUUUUUUUGCAAUUUUUAGAAAUUAUUAUGUUAAAUUUUAUGAAAAAUGUUAAAACAGUUUUUUGGGGAUUUUCUUUUUCAAAAAUCCCAAUAACUGUCGUAAACUUCUUCUUUUUUAACUUAAAAAAAAAAUAUCUUUGAAUUAAAUAAUAGAGGGAAGUGUUAAUUUAUAAGAAAUGAAUAUAGUGUUGUAAACAGUAAACGUAAUACAAGAAAUCAAGAAUUAAUGGUGCAUCCUAAGAACUAGAAGCAUAUCUAUGCACUGAAUGACGAUCUAUCAAUCGCGUGAUCAAUUGAAACGGAUCGUUCUAGAAUAAUUAGAAGUCUCGGGUUCAAAUUUUAAAUAUGCAACACUGCAUUAAAUACAAUCGACUCAAGGAGAAACAAAAGAUAUUUUUGGUCUAUUAAAAAACUGAAUGAAAAAAAAUAUGAAAACACGUCUAGCUAUUAUCCGUCUCCCAUGUAAUUAGUAAAAUUAUCUACUGGAAAUGUAGGAUAUACAAAUGAAAUAAAUGCCAAAGGCUCAAAGAAGGAUUGGUAUUGACCAUGAAAUAUCAAAAUCACACGAGCUGUUUUUUCUCCUUCGAUAAUGGAUGGCUAAUGUUUCCAUGUAGCUUAUGUUAGGUUUUUCUAUAUAUAUAACCAUAUAUUUUUGUGUGUAGUAUCUUUCUCUUCAACUACUAUUGAGUUGAGAGCUCAGGGAUUUUUAAGUACAUACUCCCAGCGUGUUUGUGUCAAUCUUGUUGUAUUUUAUGCACGUUUCACCAAAAGAAAUAAUUUACAGUAUAGUUUUUUUUUCAUAAUUGAACAUAUACUUUAUGUGGUCUUAUUAGUAUGUAUUGGAUGUGAGUCCAAACACACUUCAAAGUAUGAUUAAUCCUCGACUUCACGUUGUCGUGUUUCUAAGAAAAUUAAAAAAUACACACAGAUAAAAUAAACACAAACAAGCAUAUGGGUAUUUGCUAUUAAAUGUCAAAAUCACAGUUCAAAAUACGAUUGAUCCAAAUUUGCGGAUUUUUAAGAAAAUUCGAUAUUUCACCAAUAAAUUUCCACUCUAACUUGUAAUCGUUGAGUGUUACCAAAUCUUGAGCAGCAUGCUGAAGCAGGGAUUGGGGGAAGCUGGUUGUUGAGCACUUCAUGGAAUGCACGGUACACAGAACAGCAGGAUAUAUACAUUAUAUACUCAAACUAUUGCUGUUGGAACUUUACCAUCCACCGUACUCGAAGAUAUUGUUCAUAUGUUGCUGAGUGUUAGGGGAUCAUCAAUUUCAUAUAUUAUCCCAUUAUUUUAGAAACCGUAAAAGCAUUAUUUUAGAUUAGGUUAUGUCCAUAAAAAUUAAAGCAUGAGAGAUUUCCCAUUAUAUUUUGAACCUUUUACUCAUGCUAUGUUCGAACUAUCCCCUUCUCUUUUUUUGGUAUAGACAAAUAAGUAUUUUUCAUUGCAGAUAAUUCUACUCAAAGCUUCAUGGGUAGGAUCAUCGGCAAAGCUCUCCCUCUAGACAGGAGUAUUAAGUUGGAACUGAUAACUUUUGAUUAAACUUAAACACUCUCGUGUCAGUUUGGAACUAUCCCAUUUGUUUCUAUUGAUUGGUUACCCAGAAAUUUUUGUCAGAAGAUUUAUGAUAUAUUCGUUUUGUUAACGCAAAAAAUUGAUUUGCAAGCUCCCGGAACAGACACACAAUUAUUUGCUUAUAGAUUAUAUCUAGUGCAACUUUCUUUCUUCCCCCGACGCGUAUUUCCUCCCUCUCUUAACUAAUAAACUAACCAACUUUUUUGUCUGUUUUUUGUUGUUUGUAUGCAUUCCAAUAAUAUGUGAUGGCAGCUGGCAAUGCAAUGCUGCUAAAUGAAAAAAAACGUAAUAUACGCGGUUGGGAAGGAACCUGCGAUCUAGAUUGUUAAAGAUUCAACCAACUAUUUGGUUAAGGGUUGGGGAGUCAAGAGUCAUAAGUCCAAUAUCUAAUAGAAAUUUAGAUAUAAAAUCCAUUACAAUCAUUCACGACAGUUAAAGUUAUUAGAACAUCACACUAUCCCUGUCCCAACUUUCAAAAAGGGACCUAGUAUAUAUGUUGCUAAUUUGGGACACAAAACGAUGAAGCAAAUACAUUAUCGAAAAAUAAUAAAAGAAAGUUCCAAAAAGAAAGAUCAGAGUGAAAACGAUGUUGGCCAAGUUGUCGUUUUCCAAAAUGAAUCAUGUCUCCCAAAAGCAACUUCGACAAUGAGUCCCCCGGCUUGACUUUUCAAACUGAACGUCACAGUAUUAAUUCUACUGACUAUUUCUUUUGUGAAUCAAUAUCUCUAACACCACUCCAAUAACACUGUUUUAUCUUCAUUGUAUUAUCUAUCAUAUAUACUCGCAAGUUUUCUUGAUUAAAAGCAUAACCUUUCACCUGUUUCAAGCGAGGAUAUGGCCAUUCAAACAAACUUUCUUUUCUUCAUCAUUAAGAAUGGGGUAAAUAGUCAUUUUUGUCUUUUAAUGUGUAAUUCAAUGACAAAUAUGUCCCAGAAAAAUAAAAAUACAAAAUUUAAUCCUCAAAAAUGUAAAAAGUGUGACAAAUAUAUCCGACUGUUAAUUUUUGUCCAUCAGUAUUAAUAAAAUAACUUACAUGACAUAAAGAGACAAAUUUGUUAGUUAAAUGCUUGUCAAAGUGAUCAUCUCUAUUUUUUUUUUUUUGUAAUUGAAGAAAAGUAAGAAGAAUUCACCAAAAUAAUAAAAAUUCACUUCCAUUGGUAAUAUUUUAUGCAUGUCUCAACCAUUGAAGAAGCUUAAAAAUUAUAUAACUAAAACAGACACUUAUCGGUGUGAUGUAGUUCUCUCAAAAUUUUGUUACAAUAAUUAUAAAUUUUUCAAAAUUAUAAUAAUUAGUCGCAAUCUAUUAUUAACGUUCGGAUAUAUUUAUCAUUUUUUUCGGGAACUAAAUUUUGCAUUUUCAUCUUUGAGGCAUUUGUGUUGACGAAAUGUCAAAAAAAUAUUAUAUGACAAAUAUGUCUCUAUGCUGGCAAUUAGAAAUGAUCACAUUGACAAUCAUUUUAGUGACAAAUUCGUCCCUCUGUGUCACGUCAACUAUUUUAUUAAUGAUGAUAGAUGUAAGUUAACGGUCGGAUGUAUUUUUAUCGUACUUUUUACAUUUUUUUGGAUUAAGUUUUGCAUUUUUAUCUUUCAGGGAUACAUUUGUCAGCAAGUUACACAUUCAGAGAUAAAAAUGAGUAUUUACCUUUAAUUAUUGUUUAAAAAUAAUGGAGUUGAUUGAAUCUACUCAAACAAAAGGAAGCAUACUCCAAUGGAUCCACAUGAUCAACAAAUAAAGACGUUAUUUUCUCUUUAAUAACAUAAACGUGAAGUUUAUUUAAAAUGAGUUAUUAGGAUUUAAAGGAUUUCAAACAUACCAAUACUAUAUAAAAGUAUAUAAUACCACUUAGGGCACAUCUCUAAUUAAUAUAGAGUUGUUACCAUAAUCUAUAUAAUAUGUCAUAUAUAUAUAUCUUGCUUCCCUUCCCCUCUUCUUUUGGAUUGUGUAUACGAGAAAAAAUUAUACAAAUACUAAUAAAAAAUGUAAAAAAAAAUUGGUUUUUAUGUUGAUGUUUAUUCAAUUUUUUUUUGUAAUGGAUUAUAUUUUAAAAUUUACUAUUAAUUAAAAAAAUAUUUAUUAAAAGUUAGAUGUUUAAAUAAUUAUAUAAAAAAAUUGACCUCAUUUAAUACAAGCGUGGAUCUAUUCCUGAUAUGUAGCCACUAAAAACUUUAGGGAAUCUCUAAUAGAGAUCCUAUAUUGAUAAGAAUAAUAUUAAACUGCUCAAGUAUUAUCUUUGUCAUUUAAAAGCAACUUUUAUCGAGUGCAAAGAAAACACCGGCAUUACAUAGAGUAAUCGGUGUUUUUUACUUUUUACCUAGAUUUUAAAUUGUGCAUUGUACAGGUUUGUUAAAAUUACAAAAUUUGAUAUUUUAUUCAGUAUUUUUUAAAAUAUAUGUACAUACAUAAAAAUAUUAAUUUUUACUGUUUAACAGUAUUUUAAAUAUAAUUGAACAUAUGAUUACUUUUUAAUUGAAUAGAUAUUGUAUUAAAAAAUAUUAAAUUUAUUAUGAUAUGUUAUUUUUCAAAGUAAUAAUAUGUAUAAAAUAUCUAUAUGAAAUGUAUAAUGUUAUAAAUCAUUUUAGUUUAAUUGUGUAUUUAUAAAAUCAUUAAUUUAAUUAUUAUUGUUUUUAUUGUUGCUAUUAUUUGUGAAAUAUAUUUAAUAAUUAAAUUAAAAAUAAGGUCUAUAUAUAAAAAUAUAUAUAUGAUAAUUUAUUUAUUGAUUUCUAUGAUUCAUUAUUAAUUAAAAAAUAUAUUAUGAGUUAUCUUAAAUGUAACUGUAUAUUUAUAUCAUUGUUACUUUUAAUUACUAUUUUUAUGAAAUAUGUUUUAAAGUAAUCAAUUUUUAAAAAUAAACAUGAGUGACCAUAUGCUAUUUAGGCUGAAAUAGAAUUAUUUGGUCCAUUAUAGUAUCUCUAUUAGAUCAAAUUAAAGUAGUCAUUUUUUAUAAUUUAAUAUACUAAUUUGAUUAACUUGAUAGCAGAUAGCAAGCUAUGAGACAUGUCAUAUCAAAUAAACAUUUAAUUUUUUAUGUCAAUGAAAAUUAACACUGCUAGUUACCAAAAACCAAAAUAGAUUGAGUGGACAAAUUGGUCUAACAGAAACACUUUAAUGGAUUAAAGUAAAAAAAAAAAUUGAACUUAAAAUUUAAAUAAAAAAUCAAAAUUCCAUAAUAAAAAAAUGACUAUUUAAUAUCAAAAUAGUAUAAUAAAAAAGUACUGAUGUGUCCAACUGAAUUCUUCAUUAAAUACAACUUGAUUCAUUAAAUUUAAUUAUAUCCUAUCAAUAAUUAUUAUAAAGUUGAAAUUUUAAUCAUUUACUAACAUUUCAGGUUAAUAACGAAUGAUAAGAACUCAUAUCUCAUAAUAAAGUGAUUUAAGAUAAGAUUAGAAUUCUUAUCGAUCUUUAAACAUGAAAUAAAUUAUGUUAAAAAAAAUAUUUAUUUUUUAUACAUUCAAAAUUUCCAACAAAGAUUUAUUAUUAUUUUCGACCGAAAAACUUCAUACUAACAUCAUGCUGAAAAAAAUCUACUAACAUUUCAAGUCUCUUUUAUUAUAUAUAUUGAUAUAUAUAUUGAUGGGAUUAACUUAACUUUAUAUAUUAAAAUAUUUUACUGUUUUCUGCAAACAUUAUAAACUUAUUGGCUAAUAAGCCAACGUGGAAACACUUUAUGUAAAACAAUUUUGUUUAGACAUACGAGUUAUAAUAUGAUAGUGAUGUUUAUAUGUUUUCAAUUUUCAUACCAUGAGCUAUAAGGUUUAAAUGUCAAGUAUGUAAAUGUUUAUUAGUUGAAUUGUAUGACCUUUCAUUUGACUAGUUUAAAUUAAAAUGUUUAAGAUUAAACAAGACUUAGAGCAAAGCAAAGAGUCGUAACUUAAAUAAUUUGCCAUCAUAUUUACUACUUUCAUGUUUUUAUAUUUAAAGUCCUCAGUCAUUUUACAUUCACCACAUUAUAAUGACCAACAUAACCAGGAGCACCAUAUUUUGGCCGCACAUCAUAAUUCAUAAUGACCAAAGUAAAAAAAGAGGAUCACCAUAAGUUUUCACGUUUGAUUUUCUUCUCAAACGUAUCAUCCUUACUAUUUUCCACUUUCUGCAUGUUCUUCUUUGCCUUUGUUUCUUUUGCAUCUAAAAUCGUGGACUUCAUAUCCAUUGCUACAAGCAUAUCUCCUUCAUUUUUAUCAUCUCCAGCAGCCGAAUCAUUGCUCUUUUCAUGAGAGAACUCUUAUCCCAUAUCAAAACUUUGAGAAAAGAGACAAGAAAUAUACUAUCGUAUUGUAGCCACAAAUCAUAAAAAUCAAAGUAAGAAACAGGAAUGUACCAUAAAAAAAAAAAUCAAAGUAUAAAAGAAGAAUAUCAUAAAAAAAGAAGAAGCUAUAAUUGAUUGAAUAUAAGAUACAAUAAAAGUAUGUGAAUGCUCUAUUCUAGAGCUAACAACUAUUUUCAAGAGGCCACUAACAACUAACUAAUUUUUUUAACAAACUAACAAUUCUUAACAGGUUUGAUAUAUAAGAACUCUGUAAAUAGCUAUUUCCAUUUUUUUCUGAUUCAAUAUUCUACUUAAUUUUCAAUAUGGAGAACAUGUUACUGUCUCUGUAUUUCAGUUUCCUCUUCCUUCUUAUGUAAACAUUAGAUUUGGGAAAUUUGACUUUCGAAAAGUAAGUAUAUAACGCAGCCGUGUGAUCCAUACAUGGAUCAUGAAUGUGAUCUAUCGUUCAAUAACUCUAUACUUAGCAGUAAUUGUUUUUAAUCAUUUCUUGGCUUAACCAUUUUAAAAUAUAAUUUUGUAUCAUAUCCAUGUAUUACAGAAGUUUACUUUAUUGCCUACAACAACACUAGACUUGAUGACAUCGAUGGGUAUUAAUUUGGUUAAAAGUAAGCCAUCGUUAAGUAUUAAUGGCGGAACAGUUUUUACUUUAUUUUUUUUAAAAAUAAAUUUUUUUUUCUCUCUUGUGUUUUUAUUUCACAAAAAUAGCCAUUUUUUCACUAAAAAAAACCAUGUAUUGUACGGGUUCGAAUGCUAAUUAAAUCAUAAACCUGUUAGUUUUCUAUUCUAAUAAUGCAUGAUCAGAUAUUUUUUCAUAGAGUGAUGCUGUAUCAACGUGUAUUUGGCCAAUUUUCUUGCUCCGUGAUUACAAAGGGGCAGAGGAUUUCGAAUUGGAAAUCGACAAGUCGCUGUCUCAAACCAAACUAGGAUUGACCGCAGCGCCAAUUUCUGAUUCGAUGCCACGAUGGAGAUGUGACUGGGCAAUUCCCAUCCUUACAUUAAGUAAAAAGUUUUAUAAAUUAAUUAACAAAAAACUUAUUUUAACUCAUAAAAAAUAUUUUAUUUUAUUUUAUUCCUCUAAAAGUAUUUCUAGAUAAGUUUAGCUAUAGAUGGCGUGCCGUUGUAGUGCAUUAGUAACCAAAUUAUUAAUAAAUAAAGCGCAAGGUCACAAAAUAGUUAGGCUUAAAAAAGAAUAGAAUAUACGAGCAUGAUGCAGCAAGGGAAUCUUGAGAGAGUAGGCUAGGCCCCACAUGAGGUUGGCGAUUAUUGGUCCACAUCAUCAACGUUGGAAUGAUUCAGUCACCGAGCAUUGCAUGUUAUGUUAUCUGAGCCAAGACAGCAAAGCAAGAACAUGAAAGCCAUUCAAAGGUGUAAUCCUAGUUAGCAUUCACGUGGCAUGUUCCUAUUGGCCCAAGGUUAAGGUUAUUGGCUACAAAUCAAAUCCAUCAUCAGUUUACGUUUCAGAAUGUGUGCCGUCCAUUUUUGGAGUGGGGACUCUCCACCGCCCCCUCCACUUUUCACCUAAACUUUGUCGCUUUACAGCCAAUCCCUUCUUGCUUUGCUUUCUUGUGAUAAUAAGAACUCCUCAAGAAAUGAAUUCAGUACAUCAACUUGUGUUAUUAUUAAUUUUAAAAGUUAAUUAAUUCAACUCAGAUUAGUUUAUUUUCAAUAUUAGUGUCUUUUUAAUAUAAUACAACAACGGUAGAAUGUCGGAAUGAUGAUUCAUGUUUGAGUCAUCAUUUAAAACAUUGCAAGAAAUUUUGCCUACUCUCGACCAAAUUGGUUGGUUAACCCAAUAGCCCAAUAUACAUACGAUUCCUAGAAGUAUUUUUAUUUUUAGCAAUUGUAAUACAAACAUCUUCCACAACGAUUGAUCUAUUGUUUUCAGAGAGUAAGGCAUCAUGUUACUAAAUAAAAUUAUAUCGAUAACAACGAUCAAAUUUAAGUAACUGAAAAUAACAGCGCAUAGAGAAAACGGGAGAUGCGGGGGGAGGGGGAAGGUACGGAAUUGAUAAAUUAGUGACACAAAUUUGGCAGAAGCUAGGAAACAAUUCUGCUUACGUUCAGAAUUAGAAUUAAUAUUAUCUUGAUACUAUAUAUGAACAUUAUUAUGAAGAUCCACGAUAAUGUUUUAUAAUUUCAUGAUCAACAUGAUAGUGUCAUUGCGCAAGAGAGCAAUAAGAGGUGUAUGGGUUAGAAAGAAAUAUAAAUAAAGGACAAAAGUUAAUUUUGUAUUGUGAAAGAUCGAAUCACCUCACGCAAUGCAUCUCUUUGUAAAACUACAAAAUAACAUUACGUACAUAUGCCCACAUUUACUAAUGGUAUAUAUUUUUUUUAUUUUGUUAUACAACUACAAAAUCUAUAUAUAAUAUAAGUAACUCAAUUAACAAUACAAGCUAAGCUGAGUUAAUAAAAAAAGACUUAGGUUUAAUUUCUAAAUAAUACAUUUAAAAAAACAAGGAGAUUUAUAUAUAAUUAAAUUUCAAAUUAAAAAUUAAUCUAUGAUGAAAAUAAAAACUAGUGUAUUUUAAAUUAAUUUUUAUGCAAUAAUUUAUGGGUAAAAUGUUAUCACAGAGUAUUUUAAAACGUAUAUCUCAUCCAAACGUAUUGAAAUAUAUGUUUGAACUUUGAAGAAUACUGGACACACAAGUAUUUUUCGUGUGGCAGAGGAAGAAUGGUAUGACGUGGAAAGCAUAGCCAUGUGGGGCCAUGUGUGAAAUUUUCAUCUUUUGGAAAAGGAGGGUUUCCCAAUGCAAAUGGCCCGAUUCAGGGAACCAAAAGUUGUCCACGCAAUUAAUUUCUUUCUUGCUAUAUUUUCUGAUGUGGGCCCACCAUUUUCAUUUUGGGUUUUGGAGGUUAAUGAUGCCCAUUGAUGACGGGCCCCACAUCCAGCACCGGCCUAUUUCCUUUGUUGCCUUUCCAUUUGCCAUUUUUCCAAAUUCCCAAAUGGCCAUUUAAAAUUUUGCUUCAUGCAUAGCAAAAAGCUAAUUAUCUCACAAAACCUUAAAUUUUGGCAAACAGCUUAACUUGACCAUAACAGGGAAAAGGCAUACUUAUCUUUUCUUUAACAUGUUACGGGCAACAAGCUUCCUCCACUUCAUAAUAAUACCAUGCCAGAGUUGCUAUGUGCCCACUAAUUUAAUUACAUUGAAUUAGGAGAAAAUAUUACUUCAAUCAGUACAACAUCCAUUAACCAAGGCCCCAUUUUGUAGGUGCAUAACAAUGCUAAUUAUCUACAGAAGUGAAGUAAUUAAAUUCUCUCAUGAGUGAGAUGAGGCUCGUAUGUGUUGUUAUUGUCUUUGAAAAUUAUUGUAUCUUUUGUUCAUUUGUUUUCCAUUAUUUAUGAUUGCUCCAGUUUUGGGUGCCUAGCUGGCUAGCUUUUCGAUCAAGGGAAAAGUUGGGUCGAUUCUAAAGGGUAGAGGCGUAGAGCACAUUUUUUAAGGUGCUACUAUAUUAUUCUACAAAAUGUUGAGAAAUUAUAUCCACACAUAUUUUUUGUAGUUAAAAGAAAAAAAAAGAUAAAUGUAAAAUAAAAUAAGUGAUAUAAUAAAAAAUAUAAAUUAGAACAAAAGUACUGUAAAACAUAAAGUUAAAGUAAUAUAAAACUCCGAAACAUAUAGAACCCCACUCGUACGAAGUACAAACGGGGUCCGUUAGUAGUCAUCCUGUAAAUUAUUGUAAUUUGAGUAAAUAUAAUUUUAAAAAAAUAUAAAAGAUACUAAUUUGAUUAUUUAAUAAUAAAUAUAUUGAUAGAAAAUACUAUUUGAUUUAAAAUAUUUAAUGUGAAAAUGUUUUUAUUAUCUGAACUGUCAUAAAAAAAUUUAUUCAGCCCAUUUAAAAUUUUCAUAUUAAAAUAAUUUAAAAGGGUAAUUUGGUUUCAAAAAUACUAGCUAAAAGGAUUUAUAUAUAUUAUAUUUAGUAUAAAAUAAUAACAUGAAAAAUAGAUUGGUUUCACUUCAUUUCUAUACUAUACACGUACCCCAAAUAAUUGUAUCGGUAAGGUAUCAUCUAUAUGUACAUAUUUUUUUAUGUUAUUAUGCAGAGAUAAAGAAUCAAAAGGAAAAACAUUGACAACUGGGCAUACUGGUGUCUUUUAUUUUCUGUCAGUGACAUGAGCCGUCUCUGUUUGAGAAAGAUUCUUCCAAGUGAUCACAACACACACAAACUAUUUCUCUCUUUGGAAUUGCUUCUACUAUUCAUGACUCUGCACCUCUAUAUAAACCUCUCUCUCACCUUUCAUCACACCACACUCAUCACAACCACUCUUAAUUUCUCUCUGCCUUGCUCAUUUACACACCUCUCCAACCUUUCACUUUCAGCUUUAUUUGAAUCCCUCUCUCUCCUUUCCAAAUGGCCAGCGUUGAGGUAAUUCAAACACACAGUUAAAAUUCGUUGUUUAUAAUUUUGCCUUUCUUUGUACAUUUCUUUAUUAGUCCACGUGUGUAGUAGUAGUAGUAGUUUAUAUGGUUCCUACAUGCACACGGUGAAACUCAACACUUUAGUAACUGAUCGAAUAUAACCGUUUCUUCAUUUUCUUACUUUGCUUUUUAUUCAUUAUUGAUCAAAGAAUCAGUUUGUUUUUUAUUACGUGCGAUCUAGCAAGUUAUAUUUACGUUGCAUUUGCGAUCGUACUAGCUAGUCUUAUCCGCACUUUGAUUUUAAUUUCUUUUUUGGUUUUCCCGAUCUAUACUAUCUUUGUUUUUGUUGCUGCGGUGUUUGAUAACCAUCAUUAUAUACGAACCAUAAAUCAUAUAUUAUUGCGGUCAACCACUUAAAGUACACGAAAUUUGAGGGGAUCAACGAGUUUCAUAGCUUUCUUGAUCAUUGGUCAAUUGAAUAUGGAUCACGAACCAUUUUCCAGUUGAUCAAUAUCUGAAAUAUUCAUCGGUUUGUGGAAUUGGAUUACGAUUAGCAGUUCUAUGUGGACCUCGUUUUUUGUUCUUGUUUAUAUAAUCACAGUUGCAUCAUCAGAAGCAAAAAUGAUUGAUCAAUUUAUUACGUAAGCUUUUUUUCUUGUUUUUUUUCCCUCGCUAAAUAGACUAUCGUUAAUUUCUUUAAACUCAAGAACUAACAUACCCCAACUAGUUGUUGAAGCUAAUUAACACCCCGUAACCACGUUGAACUUCAUCAAGCUUAUAACUGAAAUGAAAAGGAAAAUAAUUAAUUUGAUCUAUCGCCAUUCACCAAGAUGACACUUUAAUUCAUAGGUCCUAUUACUUUCGUAUUAGACAAUUAACAUUAAUCUUAUAAGUAAUGAGUUUUGUACUACACUUCAUUUUUCUUAACAUAUCUCAUAAACACUGUUAUUUCUCGUUAUUUUUUAUUCAUUAUCACAUCAUAUCAAUUAUGGUAAUUGUACUUUACUUUUCUUUCUUUUUAUCUUUUUUUAAAAUGUCAAAUAGGUUUUCAUUGGAUGUUCAAAAAUUAUUUUACUUAUCUUAUAACAGAUUGUGCUAGUGUUGAUUAUGUGAUGUUUCACUUGUGUGUCUCUCCCGUCAAGUUAUUUGCUUCUCAUGUUUACAAAUCCAGCUUUCUUAAGCUUGGCACGAGACUUUGUUAAAUGAAAUUAGAAAUCUCCCAGGUUGCACAUCAAACACCAACAACAGUUCCAGAAAAUGAAACAACCGAGGUAAUCAAGACCCAGGAAACAACCCCGGAACCAGUACCAGCCACUGAGGCUCCUGCAACAGAACAAGCAGCAGCUGAGGUUCCUGCUCAAGAAGAACAACAAGCAACUGAGGUUCCUGCCCCAGAAUCAACCACCGAAGCACCAAAGGAAGAAACCACCGAAGCACCAACAACAGAAACAGUAGAAACAACAACUACAGAAGAAGCCAAGCCAGAGGAGCCUAAAGAAGUUGCAGUUGAGACCGAGGAGGUGGUGACAAAGGAGACAGAGGAAGAGAAGCCAGCAGCAGAAGAGAAAUCAGAGGAGAAAACUGAAGAAGUGAAAGAAGAAGCAGAAGAGCCUAAAGAAACUACUGAAACAGAAACAGAAUCAGCACCAGCAGCAACCACAGAGGAAGAGAACAAACCAGCUGAGACAGUGGAAGCCCCAGUAGAGGUUCCUGUUGAGAAAACUGAAGCUUAGACUUAUGG
rnacentral:lncRNA from 1 species